rnacentral:lncRNA from 1 species
AAGAUUUGGGCCUGUGACUGGAUCCCCAUGUCCUGAAGCCCCUCCCAACUUCUUCUUCUUCUUCACGGCCUACCCCAUAAGCACAAAAGAAAAAAGGAAGCUGGUCUGUUAACCCUCAACGAAAGGACACUGACCGUGUCUCUCUUCUGUUCUGAUAUAUUUUGAACUAAUUUAUUUUAGUUAUAUAACUUUUUUUUUUUUUGGUUUUUUGCGAUUUUUGUUUCGUGGAAGUCGAACUGGACUUGGCGGACCCUAAUCGCAAGAGCAGAGCUUUGUGGUGGAGAAAAUGACGAUAGACGAUGAGAAUUCGGUGUACGUCGGAGGCCUCCCUUACAGCGCCACCGAAGACAGCCUCCGCCGCGUCUUCGACUUAUAUGGUGCUAUCGUCGCUGUCAAGGUCUGUUAGGGUUCCUAUCACUGUCAUUUACUGUUAUUUUCUUAUUUAAGUUUCGCUGCUUAUUUUAUCUUUUGCGUUGGGUGAUUAUUCCUGCUCUAAUAUUCCAUAAUCAUGUUUUCAUACUCUUUGUACUUGAAUUUGAAUUAAUCUUAUUAGAAAUCUGCUCUAUCUACAAAAAGGUUGAUAAGUUUUGGAGACUUAUCACAGUGGGCUAUGAGUUGUUACUUUGAAAAAAAU